GUAGGUGAACCUGCGGAGGGAUCAUUACCGAGUGAGGGCCUCCGGGCUCGACCUCCAACCCUAUGUCGUUACAACCACGUUGCCUCGGGGGCGACCCGGCCUUUGCGUCGGCGCCCCCGGUGGACCCAACCAUUCAACUCUGCGUCUUUGCGUCGGAGUCAUAAAGUAAAUCAAUUAAAACUUUCAACAACGGAUCUCUUGGUUCUG
rnacentral:misc_RNA from 1 species